GCAGAAGAAGCACCGGCUAACUCCGUGCCAGCAGCCGCGGUAAUACGGAGGGUGCGAGCGUUAAUCGGAAUUACUGGGCGUAAAGCGCAUGCAGGUGGUUUGUUAAGUCAGAUGUGAAAGCCCGGGGCUCAACCUCGGAAUUGCAUUUGAAACUGGCAAACUAGAGUACUGUAGAGGGGGUAGAAUUUCAGGUGUAGCGGUGAAAUGCGUAGAGAUCUGAAGGAAUACCGGUGGCGAAGGCGGCCCCCUGGACAGAUACUGACACUCAGAUGCGAAAGCGUGGGGAGCAAACAGGAUUGGAUACCCUGGUAG
rnacentral:rRNA from 1 species